rnacentral:rRNA from 1 species
GAUGAACGCUAGCGGCAGGCUUAACACAUGCAAGUCGAGGGGUAGAGGAAGCUUGCUUCCUUGAGACCGGCGCACGGGUGCGUAACGCGUAUGCAACCUACCUUUUACAGAGGGAUAGCCCAGAGAAAUUUGGAUUAAUACCUCAUAGUAUUUUCGAAUCGCAUGAUUUGAUUAUUAAAGUUCCAACGGUAAAAGAUGAGUAUGCGUCCCAUUAGCUAGAUGGUAAGGUAACGGCUUACCAUGGCAACGAUGGGUAGGGGUCCUGAGAGGGAGAUCCCCCACACUGGUACUGAGACACGGACCAGACUCCUACGGGAGGCAGCAGUGAGGAAUAUUGGACAAUGGGCGCAAGCCUGAUCCAGCCAUGCCGCGUGCAGGAAGACGGUCCUAUGGAUUGUAAACUGCUUUUUAANACAGGAAGAAACACCUCUACGUGUAGAGACUU